rnacentral:rRNA from 1 species
CUACGGAGGAUGCAAGCGUUAUCCGGAUUUAUUGGGUUUAAAGGGUGCGUAGGCGGUUUGCUAAGCGGGAGGUGAAAUGCCGGCGCUCAACGUCGGAAGUGCCUCCCGAACUGGUGGACUUGAAUGACUCUGCCGUGGGAGGAAUGUGUAGUGUAGCGGUGAAAUGCUUAGAGAUUACACAGAACACCGAUUGCGAAGGCAUCUCACGAAGGGUUGAUUGACGCUGAGGCACGAAAGCGUGGGGAUCAAACAGGAUUAGAUACCCUGGUAGUCCACGCAGUAAACGAUGAUGGCUAACCGCUGGAUCCAUCGGUUCAGUGGCCAAGCGAAAGCGAUAAGCCAUCCACCUGGGGAGUACGACCGCAAGGUUGAAACUCAAAGGAAUUGGCGGGG